rnacentral:sRNA from 1 species
UUCUCGCUGUCCAUAGCUUUCUUGGUCACCGUCUCUCUCCAACCAGUGCGGUCUAAGGCUAUGUCUUCCCAAUGGUCUUUAUGAGAGAAGUAUUAUAUAAUCAAGUUCCUAUUAGCACAAAGUUUGUUUUCUGGUCAGUUCUUCCCUAAUACUCUAGAACGUAGAGAGUAUGUCAAGCUAACAAGUGAUGCAACAUUUCAUUUUUUUUCUGCUAUUUAGUUAGUCAGUUUGGUUUGUUGUCUGAUGUCAUAUAGAUCUAAAUUGGGUUUAAAAAGAGAUUUCUUAAUUUGCCAUAGAGCACUGACAUAAAAAAAAACAUGUAGUAUUCCUAUAAUUAGAUAUUUCAAGAACUUCAAAACAGAUAAACAAAAGUUGUUUAGAGAAAUCAGACGCAUACGAAAAGAGUGGGAAUAGACACACAUUUGAGAGGAUGCCCUGGAACGUAAACCUGCUAUUAAUUAGCAAUCAAAGGAUUAAUUUUUCUAGGGCAGUGUUUCUCAAACUGUGUUCCGUGAGGCCUGGAUAGGUGUUCCACGAACUGCUAGAAAAAUUAGUAAGCCAACACGUUAAUUAAUCUUUCUUAAAAAAAUAGGCAAAGUGCUCCGCUCGAUACCGGUACCCAGAAUGUGGGAAGUGUUCAAUGAAAGGAAAAGUUUGGGAACCACUCUUCUAGGGGAUACUGUGAGUCGACAUCACACCCUCACAAAAUCUGAGGCAAGGUUCUCAAAUUUUCAGUACAGCUGAACACACACACACACACACACAUAGACACUAGUUGACUUGGGUCAAUGAAGGUACUAGUGAAACUGACCAACACACACACACUAGUUGACUUAAGUUAAUGAUGGUAUUAGUGAAACUGACCAACAUCAAGUUAGGAUCAGACACUUCAAAUGUAGGACAUCUAUACUUAAUGUGCUAUUUAUUUUAUGCGUGUUAUUUUUCUCAGUCAUGUUAAUAAAGUUUUAAUUGUAUAA